GCAUAACGCGAAGAACCUUACCAGGGCUUGACAUCCCUCUGAAAUCUCUAGAGAUAGAGGCUCUCUUCGGAGCAGAGGUGACAGGUGGUGCAUGGUUGUCGUCAGCUCGUGUCGUGAGAUGUUGGGUUAAGUCCCGCAACGAGCGCAACCCUUGUCCUUAGUUGCCAGCAUUUAGUUGGGCACUCUAAGGAGACUGCCGUCGACAAGACGGAGGAAGGUGGGAUGACGUCAAAUCAUCAUGCCCCUUAUGUCCUGGGCUACACACGUGCUACAAUGGAUGGUACAACGGGCUGCGAACUCGCGAGAGUAAGCCAAUCCCAAAAACCAUUCUCAGUUCGGAUUGUAGGCUGCAACUCGCCUACAUGAAGUCGGAAUCGCUAGUAAUCGCGGAUCAGCAUGCCGCGGUGAAUACAUUCCC
rnacentral:rRNA from 1 species